GUUGUUUCUUGGCCUUUUUGGCUAAGAUCAAAUGUAGUAUCUGUUAUCAGUUUAAUAUCUAAUAGCUAAUGUCCUCUAUCCAAGGACAACAUAUUAAGUGGAUUUUUUGAGCUAGGACCUGGAAUUGGAGCUUGUUUCGCCCAUUCCAUUAAUUGACCUGGUAUUGUAGUGCCUCCAGAAAUGAUGAAAAAAAA